UGCAGUCGAGCGGACAGAAGGGAGCUUGCUCCCGGAUGUUAGCGGCGGACGGGUGAGUAACACGUGGGUAACCUGCCUGUAAGACUGGGAUAACUCCGGGAAACCGGAGCUAAUACCGGAUAGUUCCUUGAACCGCAUGGUUCAAGGAUGAAAGACGGUUUCGGCUGUCACUUACAGAUGGACCCGCGGCGCAUUAGCUAGUUGGUGGGGUAAUGGCUCACCAAGGCGACGAUGCGUAGCCGACCUGAGAGGGUGAUCGGCCACACUGGGACUGAGACACGGCCCAGACUCCUACGGGAGGCAGCAGUAGGGAAUCUUCCGCAAUGGACGAAAGUCUGACGGAGCAACGCCGCGUGAGUGAUGAAGGUUUUCGGAUCGUAAAGCUCUGUUGUUAGGGAAGAACAAGUGCGAGAGUAACUGCUCGCACCUUGACGGUACCUAACCAGAAAGCCACGGCUAACUACGUGCCAGCAGCCGCGGUAAUACGUAGGUGGCAAGCGUUGUCCGGAAUUAUUGGGCGUAAAGGGCUCGCAGGCGGUUUCUUAAGUCUGAUGUGAAAGCCCCCGGCUCAACCGGGGAGGGUCAUUGGAAACUGGGAAACUUGAGUGCAGAAAAGGAGAGUGGAAUUCCACGUGUAGCGGUGAAAUGCGUAGAGAUGUGGAGGAACACCAGUGGCGAAGGCGACUCUCUGGUCUGUAACUGACGCUAAGGAGCGAAAGCGUGGGGAGCGAACAGGAUUAGAUACCCUGGUAGUCCACGCCGUAAACGAUGAGUGCUAAGUGUUAGGGGGUUUCCGCCCCUUAUGCUGCAGCUAACGCAUUAAGCACUCCGCCUGGGGAGUACGGUCGCAAAACUGAAACUCAAAGGAAUUGACGGGGGCCCGCACAACGGUGGAGCAUGUGGUUUAAUUCGAAGCAACGCGAGAACCUUACCAGGUCUUGACAUCCUCUGACAACCCUAAAGAUAGGGCUUUCCCUUCGGG
rnacentral:rRNA from 1 species